UCAUGUGUCGUUGCCCAUAACCAAAAGAAAAUAGCGGAAAAAAACCCGCUCUAAAUUUUUCACACGAAAUCACGUAUUUCUUGAAGACUUCAACUGUUCAUCUCCUCCUCAACUCACACCCUCUUUCGCUCUGCCCUCAUCUUUCUCUUCUUGCGGUGAAUUGUUGAUGCUUCCAACGAGAUCUUCGACGUUUCUCAGUUGAUGAGUUUAAUUAUCAUGGAAAAUUGAGUUUCUCAUGAAUCAGACUCCGACAAUUGACGUUUCUCAAGUUUUUCGACGUUUUCAACCACCUCACAUUUCUCAGGUGACUUUUCUUAGGAUCUCGACGUUUCUUAAGUGACGUCUCUCGGUGGUGAGGUGGGUGACGGCCGGAGUUCAGCGGUGAGGCUAGCGGCGAGUUCGGCGGCAAGAAUCUGCAACAAACUUUGGACGACCUGACACGUAAUGGCUAUUCUGUUUGCAUAGUUGAGGAAGUGCAGGGUCCAACUCAAGCUCAUUCUCAGAAGGGUCGUUUUAUAUCUGGGAACAAUGGGUCGUGACUAUCUUUCCAAAUUAGCAGAGAAAAGCUAUAUGAAGUAUGAUAAGGCUUAGAUUAUAUGAAUUUCUUCGUAGAUUAUGGUAGUGCUAAUUAGUUUUUUUAGAUUUACUUUGAAUUAUUCAAGUUACGUUGGAUAUCGAGUUUGAAGAUUAUUUUGUUGUCCUUCGACUGUCUACAAUUUGCUAUUCCAUGAAUAAUUUUUUCUAUUAUAUCAUACUUUUGUUUUUAA